UGGCGGCAAUAGCGCGGUGGUCCCACCUGACCCCAUGCCGAACUCAGAAGUGAAACGCCGUAGCGCCGAUGGUAGUGUGGGGCCUCCCCAUGCGAGAGUAGGACACUGCCAGGCA
rnacentral:rRNA from 2 species